rnacentral:rRNA from 2 species
UCCCCUAGUAACUGCGAGUGAAGCGGGAAAAGCUCAAAUUUAAAAUCUGGCGGUCUCCGGCCGUCCGAGUUGUAAUCUAGAGAAGUGUUAUCCGCGCUGGACCGUGUACAAGUCUCCUGGAAUGGAGCGUCAUAGAGGGUGAGAAUCCCGUCUUUGACACGGACUGCCAGGGCUUUGUGAUGCGCUCUCAAAGAGUCGAGUUGUUUGGGAAUGCAGCUCAAAAUGGGUGGUAAAUUCCAUCUAAAGCUAAAUAUUGGCGAGAGACCGAUAGCGAACAAGUACCGUGAGGGAAAGAUGAAAAGAACUUUGGAAAGAGAGUUAAACAGUACGUGAAAUUGCUGAAAGGGAAACGCUUGAAGUCAGUCGCGUUGGCCGGGGAUCAACCUUGCUUUUGCUGGGCGUACUUUCCGGUUGACGGGUCAGCAUCAAUUUUGACCGUUGGAUAAAGUCUAGGGGAAUGUGGCAUCUUCGGAUGUGUUAUAGCCCUUGGUCGCAUACAACGGUUGGGAUUGAGGAACUCAGCACGCCGCAAGGCCGGGUACUUGUACCACGUUCGUGCUUAGGAUGCUGGCAUAAUGGCUUUAAUCGACCCGUCUUGAAACACGGACCAAGGAGUCUAACAUGCCUGCGAGUGUUUGGGUGGAAAACUCGGACGCGUAAUGAAAGUGAAAGUUGAGAUCCCUGUCGCGGGGAGCAUCGACGCCCGGACCAGACCUUUUGUGACGGAUCCGCGGUAGAGCAUGUAUGUUGGGACCCGAAAGAUGGUGAACUAUGCCUGAAUAGGGUGAAGCCAGAGGAAACUCUGGUGGAGGCUCGUAGCGAUUCUGACGUGCAAAUCGAUCGUCAAAUUUGGGUAUAGGGGCGAAAGACUAAU